AUGGAUGCCCUUUAUUUCAUAGCCGACAGUCUGGAGAGAGAUAGGAAACGAGGGAACAAGUCUACGGCCUCUUUAAAUUCUCAGUUCAUGUGGUAUUAUGAUUUAAGGGAAAGCAUCAAGAAUAGUUGUGCAUCCGUUGAUAUAUCCUAUGACAGUAUACCGUAUAUGAUAAAAGGGAAUAGUCAAACUUGUACUGUGUGUGCUCAGGCUGUACCCGUACUGUGUUUUUUCCCUGCAGAACAUUUUACCUCCGACACUCCACCUCCAUCCUACACCGCCGCCACCCACGCCGCGCUGCCAGCCUCGGAGCCUCCCAACGCAGCCGGCGACCAGCCUGCCGGCUCAGCUGAGGUGGAGGACCUGGGCUCUGUGGUGGUGAAGGUCCACUACACGUACACCGUGGCUCUGUCCGUCCCGCUGUACGCGCCGUACCGCGACGUGAAGGGACUGAUUGCACAGAAACUGGGCCAGCCCGCGUCUCAGCUGCGCCUCAGAUAUAGGACACAGAGGAUCAUCGCGAGAC
rnacentral:lncRNA from 1 species